rnacentral:pre_miRNA from 1 species
CAUAUACCCACUCCGUCCAACAAAAGAUGUCUUCACUUUGUUAAAAUUUGAAUAUACGUAGACAUGACUUAGUAUAUAGAUGUAUUCAAAUUUAGUCAAAAUUGAGACAUUUUUGUUCCACGGAGGGAGUAUAUC